GUGAGAAGCGAUGGCCCAGACAGCCACCCACUGGAGUGGAAGCCAGCAUGGCAGGCAGGAUGGGGCCUCAGUAUGACAAGCAUAUAACAACCUUGGACUGUUGGAUCCUGCCAGCCACCUGGAGGGCCUCAGGGAAAGACUUGGGACCCUACCCGGUGUCAACGGAAGGACUUUUGCCUGCAGGUUUACAGUAAUUGGUUUACAACUGGGCUAGAAGAAAAAUAAAAUGAAACAAAAUGUUCCUGAGUAUCCUGCACUACCUAAGGAGACCACAACAUUUCCAUGCUGCACUAAAGACACAUCUUCCAAGGUCAAGGUCUACAGAUUUCUCUAAAGCUACACAACAGCUUCCUGACAUGAGCGCCUCAGCUUCUCACCCUCUGCUGCUCACCUGGAUAGUGGAGACAAAGUCCUGAUGUCACUUUUCAUUUCACCACAUCUUAUAACCUCUCAGUAAUUAAAUGUUACCUAAGGAUUUCUUAAUACAAAUCUUGAUGUUCUAGAUAAAACAAUGUCAAUGGCAUUCUGAAUGUGGUUCAAAGACCUUCCGUUCUUUAGUCUUCCUUGGCUGGAAUCCUAGGUCUGUAGGGCUGUUGCGGACUUGCCCUGAGUGCCACACAGUAUGAGAAGAAUAUCUCCAGACUCGGUUUCCCCAUCUAGAAAGUGGGGUUCAUGAAACUGGAUCUCCGUGAAAAUAACGGGCACCACUUAGUGCCAGCUGUCACUAUAGUGUGUGACUUGUUUCUGGUCAUGCCAGGGGCUAGGAGAGAAAGAGAAAAACUUCUGAUUUCAGUGAUGCUGGAGGAAUCCUUGUCAUCAUCACUAUCAAGUAGACCGAAUCAUCAAUUUAGGACACCAGGCUAUCACCUAUGAUUAGUCAAUAAAUGGAUCUUGCACAGAAUGGAAGAAAGUGAUACUCACCCACCAGAGUGAGAUAUUCCUUCCAAAGCUUGACUUUCUAGGGCUGGUGAUAUAGCUCAGCUGGUAGAGAACAUGCUUAACAUACACAAGGCCCUGGGUUCAGUUCCCAGCCCCAUGUAAACUGGGUGUGGUAACACAGUCCUGUAAUUCCCUGCAUUUGGGAAAUGAAGGCAUGAAGAUCGGAAGUUCAAAGUCAUCCUCAACUACAUACUGAGUUCAAGGCCAUCAUGGAACUGUGAGAGCCUGUCUCAAAACAAUGAAAGGUCAACUUCCUGAGGGUUUCAGCUGUGGCUGAGGCCACACACCUAGGGGAGGCCCUGCAGUGCUCCUACAAGCAAAAAAGCAGAGUAGAUCCAAAUCUACAGUGCUCCCAAUGGGAUCUAGGACAGACAAGCCCAACCAAACAGAAGGUUCUCUUUGACACAGCUCUCUUGAAAUGUUCUUUUGCAUCACAUAACUAUAAGCCUAGAAAAAGUGCCCAUCUUGGUUUAGAGAGUUUAUCCUAAGGAAAUGAUCCAAAAGAGAAUAUAAAAACGGCAUACAUAAGAAGGUAACUGCAUUUUAACCACCCUCAGGCAUUCAGAGAGGGUCAUCCAGGGGCCUCACUGCCAAAAAUACUGACUGUAAUCACCCUCACUUUUGUCUCAUCCUUCACACCUAACCGUCUGAAAAAUGUGUUUACAAUCCUAUCAUUUUGUUAAAUUGGGACAUUGUCAGGUGGGAACCCUAACACCUGAUUAACAUGUUAACUGCAUUCAUUGCAUGCCUUCGAUAAGGAAUUUGAUAACAGCAUAUGUCAUAAUUAUAUUGUGGAAUGCAAUAGCAUGUUCCAGUGAGCUACACAUAAUUAUAUUAAAGCAGUAUUUAUGGCAAUUAUAUCAUUUGUUGAAUUGUUGUAAUUUCAUUAAGUAUAGGAG
ensembl:lncRNA